rnacentral:rRNA from 1 species
UCGGGAAUUUUGGGCAAUGGGCGAAAGCCUGACCCAGCAACGCCGCGUGAAGGAUGAAGUAUUUCGGUAUGUAAACUUCGAAAGAAUAGGAAGAAUAAAUGACGGUACUAUUUAUAAGGUCCGGCUAACUACGUGCCAGCAGCCGCGGUAAUACGUAGGGUGCGAGCGUUAAUCGGAAUUACUGGGCGUAAAGCGCACGUAGGCGGUUUUUAAGUCAGAUGUGAAAGCCCCGGGCUCAACCUGGGAAUUGCAUUUGAAACUGGAAAACUAGAGUGUGUGAGAGGGGGGUAGAAUUCCAAGUGUAGCGGUGAAAUGCGUAGAGAUUUGGAGGAAUACCAGUGGCGAAGGCGGCCCCCUGGCACAACACUGACGCUCAGGUGCGAAAGCGUGGGGAGCAAACAGGAUUAGAUACCCCUGUAGUCCCUGAGCGGGCUGGCAAGGCGCAU